CGACCGGCGCACGGGUGAGUAACACGUAUCCAACCUGCCGUCUACUCUUGGACAGCCUUCUGAAAGGAGGAUUAAUACAAGAUGGCAUCAUGAGUCCGCAUGUUCACAUGAUUAAAGGUAUUCCGGUAGACGAUGGGGAUGCGUUCCAUUAGAUAGUAGGCGGGGUAACGGCCCACCUAGUCUUCGAUGGGUAGGGGUUCUGAGAGGAAGGUCCCCCACAUUGGAACUGAGACACGGUCCAAACUCCUACGGGAGGCAGCAUG
rnacentral:rRNA from 1 species